GGAAUAAAGUGUGGGACGUGUCCUAUUUUGUAUGUACCUUAUGAAUAAGGAUCGGCUAACUCCGUGCCAGCAGCCGCGGUAAUACGGAGGAUCCGAGCGUUAUCCGGAUUUAUUGGGUUUAAAGGGUGCGUAGGCGGCCUUUUAAGUCAGCGGUGAAAGUCUGUGGCUCAACCAUAGAAUUGCCGUUGAAACUGGGGGGCUUGAGUAUGUUUGAGGCAGGCGGAAUGCGUGGUGUAGCGGUGAAAUGCUUAGAUAUCACGCAGAACCCCGAUUGCGAAGGCAGCCUGCCAAGCCAUGACUGACGCUGAUGCACGAAAGCGUGGGGAUCAAACAGGAUUAGAUACCCUGGUAGUCCACGCAGUAAACGAUGAUCACUAGCUGUUUGCGAUACAGUGUAAGCGGCACAGCGAAAGCGUUAAGUGAUCCACCUGGGGAGUACGCCGGCAACGGUGAAACUCAAAGGAAUUGACGGGGGCCCGCACAAGCGGAGGAACAUGUGGUUUAAUUCGAUGAUACGCGAGGAACCUUACCCGGGUUUGAACGCAUUCGGACCGAGGUGGAAACACCUUUUCUAGCAAUAGCCGUUUGCGAGGUGCUGCAUGGUUGUCGUCAGCUCGUGCCGUGAGGUGUCGGCUUAAGUGCCAUAACGAGCGCAACCCUUGCCACUAGUUACUAACAGGUGAUGCUGAGGACUCUGGUGGGACUGCCAGCGUAAGCUGCGAGGAAGGCGGGGAUGACGUCAAAUCAGCACGGCCCUUACAUCCGGGGCGACACACGUGUUACAAUGGCGUGGACAAAGGGAGGCCACCUGGCGACAGGGAGCGAAUCCCCAAACCACGUCUCAGUUCGGAUCGGAGUCUGCAACCCGACUCCGUGAAGCUGGAUUCGCUAGUAAUCGCGCAUCAGCCAUGGCGCGGUGAAUACGUUCCCGGGCCUUGUACACACCGCCCGUCAAGCCAUGGGAGCCGGGGGUACCUGAAGUCCGUAACCGCGAGGAUCGGCCUAGGGUAAAACUGGUGACUGGGGCUAAGUCGUAACAAGGUAGCCGUACCGGAAGGUGCGGCUG
rnacentral:rRNA from 1 species